UACGUAGGGUGCAAGCGUUAAUCGGAAUUACUGGGCGUAAAGCGCGCGUAGGCGGCUCGGAAAGUCGGGCGUGAAAUGCCGGGGCUCAACCCCGGGGCUGCGUCCGAUACUUCCGAGCUGGAGGUAGGUAGGGGAGAUCGGAAUUCCUGGUGUAGCGGUGAAAUGCGCAGAUAUCAGGAGGAACACCGGUGGCGAAGGCGGAUCUCUGGGCCUUACCUGACGCUGAGGCGCGAAAGCUAGGGGAGCGAACAGG
rnacentral:rRNA from 1 species